rnacentral:rRNA from 1 species
CCUACGGUGGGCAGCAGUGAGGAAUAUUGGUCAAUGGGCGGAAGCCUGAACCAGCCAAGUAGCGUGCGGGAUGAAGGUCCUACGGGUCGUAAACCGCUUUUGCACGGGGAUAACACCCUCCACGUGUGCAGGUCUGCAGGUACCGUGCGAAUAAGGGCCGGCUAAUUCCGUGCCAGCAGCCGCGGUAAUACGGAGGGCCCGAGCGUUAUCCGGAUUCAUUGGGUUUAAAGGGAGCGUAGGCGGGCGUUCAAGUCAGCUGUAAAAUCGCGCGGCUCAACCGCGCCCCGCAGUUGAAACUGGACGCCUUGAGAUGACGACAGGCAGGCGGAAUUCGUGGUGUAGCGGUGAAAUGCAUAGAUAUCGCGAGGAACCCCGAUUGCGAAGGCAGCCUGCCGGGGUGCGACUGACGCUGAGGCACGAAGGUGCGGGUAUCAAACAGGAUUAGAUACCCGGGUAGUC